rnacentral:rRNA from 1 species
UACGUAGGGGGCAAGCGUUGUCCGGAAUCAUUGGGCGUAAAGGGCGCGUAGGCGGGGAGGUAAGUCGGGUGUGAAAUCCCUCGGCCCAACCGAGGAACUGCGCCCGAGACUGCUUCUCUUGAGUCCCGGAGAGGAAGGUGGAAUUCCCGGUGUAGCGGUGAAAUGUGUAGAGAUCGGGAGGAACACCGGUGGCGAAGGCGGCCUUCUGGACGGUGACUGACGCUGAGGCGCGAAAGCGUGGGGAGCAAACGGG